UACGAAGGGGACUAGCGUUGUUCGGAAUUACUGGGCGUAAAGCGCACGUAGGCGGCUUUCUAAGUCGGGGGUGAAAUCCUGGAGCUCAACUCCAGAACUGCCUUCGAUACUGGAAAGCUCGAGUCCGGGAGAGGUGAGUGGAACUGCGAGUGUAGAGGUGAAAUUCGUAGAUAUUCGCAAGAACACCAGUGGCGAAGGCGGCUCACUGGCCCGGUACUGACGCUGAGGUGCGAAAGCGUGGGGAGCAAACAGG
rnacentral:rRNA from 1 species